GGGAGAACUCGUGUUCGAUCCCCCGCAACAACAAUUGGUAGGGGACUGGAAGCUAUCCACCCAGAACUCGCCCCGAAUCCGAAUUAGCCUUACGGGUGAACCGGGUGCUAACACCCCAAAAAAAAAAAUUUACGGAGUACUUCGGUAAAUUCUUCGUCUUUCUCUUUCCCUCCUCCGACAAGAAGUUUCUUUAAACAUCGCCAAACGCAAACGCUUUCGCAAUACUCUUUGCAGCAGGCUAGUUUUCAGUGUUUGAUGCAGAUGGGGACUGAAUGUGAUCAAUAUUUAAGGUUCAUGGUUCAGGUUUAGACAAGAUCACAUGGACAAGUUUAGUAAUUGUCCCAAGCACAUAUCAGAAUUGAGGUUGAUAAAAAUCUGUGUUCGUAAGGUGGUGUGGUGGGAAGAGACUGGCAGUUGUGGAAGUGCUUUUAGAAAAUAAUAAAAACUCUCCACUAUCAAAAUGUGACCUCAAGUAGAAUCCUAUGGAGGUAACAACCGUUUUGUGACAAUAAGGGUAAGGCCGUGUACAGUUGGACCUUCCGCAGACCCUGCUGUGGCAGGAGUCGUGUGCACUACGAUCUUUUAUUAGGUUACAGUCUAUAGGUUAUCUGUAGCUCUCUUUUUUUAGUCGUUUUCCAGAAUUGGCACUCAUGAGAUCACAAUAUGGUUUGGGAGAUCAAAAAUUUCAGAAAGUAAUCAUGAUCUGAAAAUUAUCUUUCUGGAAUUGCUAUGGUGAUAACACGGCUAAUAGCGCGCUGUUCUGGUUCCCUGGUCAUUAAAAGUAAAAACAUGCAAUUUCCUGAGCCUUAUAUGGUGUAGGCCUUCAACCUUUCUUUUUUGGUAAAUUAUGCUUUUUGAUAAGGUUCACCAUUGUACAGAGGCAAAAGGGCAAGACAAGAAAUCUAUUUGGCCUGAUCACCAGAUAACCUCUGAAGAUUUCUUGUUAUUCUUUUGACAGCAUUGAUAAUUUGUUACUGUGUCCCAGUGUCUGUUUUUGUAGCAAAACCACUCAUCUUCUGUAGUUUUUUUUUUUUACUUUUUCAAUCUUUAUCUUUCUCCAAAGUUUUGAAGUACAGUGCACAUAUGAUCAAAAAAAUUUAGGCGCUAAAGACGCUUUUUUGGUUCGAAAUUCAAUCUUAA